UGGGGAAUAUUGGACAAUGGGCGAAAGCCUGAUCCAGCCAUGCCGCGUGAGUGACGAAGGCCUUAGGGUUGUAAAGCUCUUUUGGCGGGGAAGAUAAUGACGGUACCCGCAGAAUAAGCUCCGGCUAACUUCGUGCCAGCAGCCGCGGUAAUACGAAGGGAGCUAGCGUUGUUCGGAAUCACUGGGCGUAAAGCGCACGUAGGCGGAUUGUUUAGUCAGGGGUGAAAUCCCGGGGCUCAACCUCGGAACUGCCUUUGAUACUGGCAAUCUCGAGUCCGAUAGAGGUGGGUGGAAUUCCUAGUGUAGAGGUGAAAUUCGUAGAUAUUAGGAAGAACACCGGUGGCGAAGGCGGCCCACUGGAUCGGUACUGACGCUGAGGUGCGAAAGCGUGGGGAGCAAACAGGAUUAGAUACCCAAGUAGUCCCUGAGCGGGCUGGCAAGGCGCAU
rnacentral:rRNA from 1 species